rnacentral:rRNA from 1 species
CCCUUAGAUGUUCUGGGCCGCACGCGCGCUACACUGAUGCAUUCAACGAGUCUAAAACCUGCUCUGAUAGGGGUGGGUAAUCUUUUGAAUGUGCAUCGUGAUUGGGAUAGAUGAUUGCAAUUUUUCAUCUUCAACGAGGAAUGCCUAGUAAACGCAAGUCAUCAGCUUGCAUUGAUUACGUCCCUGCCCUUUGUACACACCGCCCGUCGCUCCUACCGAUUGAAUGAUCCGAUGAAUAUCAUGGAUUGAGGAUGCAAGUAGGUUCGCCUAUCUUCAUCUUCGAGAAGCGAAGUAAAUCUUAUCAUUUAGAGGAAGGAGAAGUCGUAACA